UGGGGAAUUUUGGACAAUGGGCGCAAGCCUGAUCCAGCAAUGCCGCGUGCAGGAUGAAGGCCUUCGGGUUGUAAACUGCUUUUGUACGGAACGAAAAGCUUCUGGUUAAUACCUGGGAGUCAUGACGGUACCGUAAGAAUAAGCACCGGCUAACUACGUGCCAGCAGCCGCGGUAAUACGUAGGGUGCGAGCGUUAAUCGGAAUUACUGGGCGUAAAGCGUGCGCAGGCGGUUAUGUAAGACAGAGGUGAAAUCCCCGGGCUCAACCUGGGAACUGCCUUUGUGACUGCAUGGCUAGAGUGCGGCAGAGGGGGAUGGAAUUCCGCGUGUAGCAGUGAAAUGCGUAGAUAUGCGGAGGAACACCGAUGGCGAAGGCAAUCCCCUGGGCCUGCACUGACGCACGUGCACGAAAGCGUGGGGAGCGAACA
rnacentral:rRNA from 1 species